AUUUUCUGAUGAGAACCUGCAGUGAAAACACCAACAGAGUUUGUGUUACUCCUGUCAGCUGUAUCUGAGUGGGAUUUUGCCACUUCCUACUCACGACCACAACUGCCAGGAUCCCAUUACCAAAGCUGCUUUGACUUUCCAGGGAAGACGUAGAGCCAGUACUUCUCAUUAAAAUGAAAGAGCAAAGGAUUCAGAAUAUCUUCUUCAUGUCUUCAAGUCUUCCAGCGCAGUCUAUGUGUUAAACAUAAAAUUACUUCUAGGGGAAGGAGAAAAAUUCUACCCGUGUGUAAGGAUAUGAGCAGAUAUUUAUGUAAUGUUUUCGUAUACAGUCAUGUUUGAAUUUUUGAUUUUUCCUCAUAUUUAUUUAAUACUCAUAUCUUCUCUGUGUACUUAUGAAGGAAAUGAAAAGAAGUUUCAAAUGGAAACCUUAGUGCACUUCUGGGGGCUCCAUCAGCCAGCUCCAAAAGAAAUGUAUACACUAGCAAGAAACACUGAGAAAUAACCUUCUGAAAAUAUCUUCCUAAAUAAGACAAGUAAAAUCUGUACAUCUACAGGUCAGCUAAGGUCAGCAACUAAUGGUAAUGUAAUUUGUGUCACUGUUUUUCCUAUUGUUUGUAACCAUUUUUGUAAGAAUGUUUCCUCUUUAACUUCCUCCUAUUUUCAUAAACAACUGUAGCAUGAUACCACUCUGCUCUGCCAUGGACAGAAGUGUGUCACAUUGCUGAUCACUUUCUUCCCCUUCAGCAGGGAACUUUAGACCUUCUUCAUGUGUCUGGAGAGAUGUCCAAAAGCUGAAAUGGUGAGCUUGUGCUUGCCUGACAUUGAUGGAAAAAUUACCACUGACAUCUCAGAGCUCAUGUACAGGAAGAUGAUGUUUGGAAAAAAGUGGAGGGGCUUUGUGGUCACUCUCUACACAGAGUGUGGUCAGAGGAUCAGUGCUCCUGUAGAGCUGGCCGGUGUGGGAAUGGCACAAAAGCUAAAGUUUGGAGCAACACCAGCACUGCCAUGAUUGCCUGAUGCACACACAAGGCACCCCAGCCCAGAGGAAACAGCCCUGACACACUAUAUCCCACACCAGACAAAUUGCAUGUCUGUUGGGUAUCAGAGGCGGAAGGAUUCCUCGUGUAAAGAACUUUGAGUGGCAAAUCAUCACAUACCUAAGCAUACACUUCACAGUGAGAAACCACAUCUGGUAGUCACAGCAAAAGGAUUUAUUAUUCUGAACCCAAAUCAGACAGGGAAAUAAAGCAUCUCUUACCAGCCA
rnacentral:lncRNA from 1 species